CAGUGUUGGUGGACAAAUGAGCUUACUUGAAGAAGGGGGGAUCUGAACGUGAUGAAAAGGUUAUUUUGUUCCAUUUUCCUUAUAAGCAUCCAUAUCUUUUGCUCCCUUCGUUGUACCUUCAACAACCAUGUUCAUUGUGUCGGGUUUGUAUCAUUUCCACCUAUCUUCUCACUCUUAAACCAUUUGGCUGGGUCGAUGUUUUAUUAAUAGAUACAAUUGAACUUGCAUCGUAUCUCAAACUAUGUCCCUAAUACGCCAGCCCACCCGUGCGUAUAUUAAGUGAAAACUGGGAUUAUGUCAAGUUUUCAAUGGUAUGAUCGGCUUGUAUCUUGCUGUCAUCGAAGUUAAGACAUGGCUCCGGGGCAGGUUAGCUUUUGUCUAUUCUCUGUAAUUUCUACCUGUUUUUCCUACCCCGUGUAUAUGCUAGAGUGCAGAGUAUGCUUGCUUAUCCGUUCGGUGGAUACUUUAUAUGCAGAAGAUAAAGAUUGACUAUCAUCUUCACUUAGUUGUAGAUACUAAAUAGUUGGUAUAAAAUUAUGAUAAUUUAAAAGAAGUAUUAUGGUGUGGUGCAGUAAUAAUUUUAAAUUUUAAAACUCGACACCUUGCAUCAUACUUUUGUUGCAAAUGGGGGCAGUGUGUUCAAGUUGCUCUGGAACAAUUUGAAGGGUUUCGUUGACACAAAAUCUUCAGCCAAGAUUCACUGCAUAGAAGUUUAAAUUGUAGUUGUUUCAGGUGCUUUGCCACAUUCAGUAUGCUUUGUUCUGUAUGCAUCAUUUAUUUGAUCCUAAUCUAUUUCAAAUGGAAAUGUUUCAUUGCUAAUUAAGGUUCAUUUAUUUGAUCCUAAUCUAUUUCCAUCCAGUACAUUUAUGCCUCAGGAUGGAAAUGUUCCUUGGCACCAUGACAAACAUUGGUGGAGUAACAAUCUGUUUUGUUGCUGUCGCUUAUGUAUUUUCGCUGCCACAAAGAUUACUUGGACACAGAGUCACAGUGUGUUAGAAAAUGAUUACAUUUUCCUUUUGUAACCUGAUGGUGUUAGACUGUUAGUAACAUCUCAGCAGUAGGGCGGGAUUAGCUAGCCCUUUCUUGGAUAUGUUUCCCAUAUAGUGUGUGGGGUCGACUAUUCAUACUUGG
rnacentral:lncRNA from 1 species